UACGGGGGGGGCAAGCGUUGUUCGGAAUUACUGGGCGUAAAGGGCUCGUAGGUGGCCAACUAAGUCGGACGUGAAAUCCCUCAGCUUAACUGGGGAACUGCGUCCGAUACUGGAUGGCUUGAGUUUGGGAGAGGGAUGCGGAAUUCCAGGUGUAGCGGUGAAAUGCGUAGAUAUCGGGAGGAACACCAGUAGCGAAGGCGGCACUCUGGGCCGGUACUGACGCUGAGGAGCGAAAGCGUGGGGAGCGAACAGG
rnacentral:rRNA from 1 species